rnacentral:miRNA from 12 species
CAGUGCAACACAAGAUAGUGCAACACAGGGCAACAGUACAACACAACGCAGUGCAAUACAGUGCAAAGCAGUGCAGCACAGCACAGUGCAGCAAAAUGCAAGGCAGUGCA